rnacentral:rRNA from 1 species
UACGGGGGGGGCAAGCGUUAAUCGGAAUUACUGGGCGUAAAGUGUGCGCAGGCGGCCGCGCAAGUCGAGUGUGAAAGCCCCGGGCUUAACUUGGGAAUUGCGCUCGAAACUACGUGGCUGGAGUGUGGCAGAGGAAGGUGGAAUUCCAGGUGUAGCGGUGAAAUGCGUAGAGAUCUGGAGGAACACCGAUGGCGAAGGCAGCCUUCUGGGCCAACACUGACGCUCAUGCACGAAAGCGUGGGGAGCAAACAGG